GGCUCUUGGCGGUGGAUCACUCGGCUCGUGAGUCGAUGAAGGACGCAGCUAGCUGCGUGAUUUAGUGUGAAUUGCAGGACACAUUGAGCAUCGACGAUCUGAACGCGAAUUGCGGCCC
rnacentral:rRNA from 1 species